GACGAACGCUGGCGGCGUGCUUAACACAUGCAAGUCGAACGGAAAGGCCCUGCUUUUGUGGGGUGCUCGAGUGGCGAACGGGUGAGUAACACGUGAGUAACCUGCCCUUGACUUUGGGAUAACUUCAGGAAACUGGGGCUAAUACCGGAUAGGAGCUCUCGCUGCAUGGUGGGGGUGGGAAAGUUUCGGCGGUUGGGGAUGGACUCGCGGCUUAUCAGCUUGUUGGUGGGGUAGUGGCUUACCAAGGCUUUGACGGGUAGCCGGCCUGAGAGGGUGACCGGUCACACUGAGAAUGAAGCGCGGCACAGACUACGACGGUAGGAAGGAGUGGGGAAUAAUGAACAAGGGGCGGAACCCUAAUGCGGCAACGCCGCGUGCGGUAUGAAGGCCUUCGGGUUGUAAACCGCUUUCGCCUGUGACGAAGCGUGAGUGACGGUAAUGGGUAAAGAAGCACCGGCUAACUACGUG
rnacentral:rRNA from 1 species